UGGGGAAUAUUGCACAAUGGGGGAAACCCUGAUGCAGCAACGCCGCGUGAAGGAUGACGGUUUUCGGAUUGUAAACUUCUUUUCUUAGUGACGAAGACAGUGACGGUAGCUAAGGAAUAAGCAUCGGCUAACUACGUGCCAGCAGCCGCGGUAAUACGUAGGAUGCAAGCGUUAUCCGGAUUUACUGGGUGUAAAGGGAGCGCAGGCGGGAAGACAAGUUGGAAGUGAAAUCUAUGGGCUCAACCCAUAAACUGCUUUCAAAACUGUUUUUCUUGAGUAGUGCAGAGGUAGGCGGAAUUCCCGGUGUAGCGGUGGAAUGCGUAGAUAUCGGGAGGAACACCAGUGGCGAAGGCGGCCUACUGGGCACCAACUGACGCUGAGGCUCGAAAGUGUGGGUAGCAAACAGGAUUAGAUACCCUGGUAGUCCACACCGUAAACGAUGAUUACUAGGUGUUGGAGGAUUGACCCCUUCAGUGCCGCAGUUAACACAAUAAGUAAUCCACCUGGGGAGUACGACCGCAAGGUUGAAACUCAAAGGAAUUGACGGGGGCCCGCACAAGCAGUGGAGUAUGUGGUUUAAUUCGAAGCAACGCGAAGAACCUUACCAGGCCUUGACAUCCCGAUGACCGGUCUAGAGAUAGACCUUCUCUUCGGAGCAUCGGUGACAGGUGGUGCAUGGUUGUCGUCAGCUCGUGUUGUGAGAUGUUGGGUUAAGUCCCGCAACGAGCGCAACCCUUACGGUUAGUUGAUACGCAAGAUCACUCUAGCCGGACUGCCGUUGACAAAACGGAGGAAGGUGGGGACGACGUCAAAUCAUCAUGCCCCUUAUGGCCUGGGCUACACACGUACUACAAUGGCAGUCAUACAGAGGGAAGCAAAAUCGCGAGGUGGAGCAAAUCCCUAAAAGCUGUCCCAGUUCAGAUUGCAGGCUGCAACCCGCCUGCAUGAAGUCGGAAUUGCUAGUAAUCGCGGAUCAGCAUGCCGCGGUGAAUACGUUCCC
rnacentral:rRNA from 1 species